ACGACAACAGUAUUCAUACAAUUGAGGAUAAUGCAUUCAGUGAUUUGACAAAUUUAUGGACUUUAUUAAUGUACCAAAACAACAUUACUGCAAUGAAUGAAAACACAUUUACUGGUUUGAAAAGCUUAAAGCUUAUGUUUCUAUCUCGCAACAGCAUAACCACAAUAGAGGAUAACACGUUCAAUGAUCUGACAAACUUAGAGAAACUGUAUCUAAUCGGCAACAGCAUAACCACAAUAGAGGAUAAAGCGUUCAAUAAUCUA